rnacentral:rRNA from 1 species
UACGUAGGGUGCGAGCGUUAAUCGGAAUUACUGGGCGUAAAGCGUGCGCAGGCGGUUUCGUAAGACAGAUGUGAAAUCCCCGAGCUCAACCUGGGAACUGCAUUUGUGACUGCGAGGCUAGAGUAUGGCAGAGGGGGGUGGAAUUCCACGUGUAGCAGUGAAAUGCGUAGAGAUGUGGCGGAACCCCAAUGGCGAAGGCAGCCCCCUGGGCCAAUACUGACGCUCAUGCACGAAAGCGUGGGGAGCAAACAGG